GGUCAAGCGAAUAAGCGCACACGGUGGAUGCCUUGGCGGUCAGAGGCGAUGAAGGACGUGGCAGCCUGCGAAAAGUAUCGGGGAGCUGGCAACAAGCUUUGAUCCGGUAAUGUCCGAAUGGGGAAACCCACCCGCUUGCGGGUAUCCUGCAGUGAAUACAU
rnacentral:rRNA from 1 species